rnacentral:rRNA from 1 species
AUUGAACGCUGGCGGCAGGCUUAACACAUGCAAGUCGAACGAGUGGCGGACGGGUGAGUAAUGCCUGGGAAACUGCCUUAUGGAGGGGGAUAACUACUGGAAACGGUAGCUAAUACCGCAUACCAUCAGAUGUGCCCAAAUGGGAUUAGGUAGUUGGUGGGGUAAAGGCUCACCAAGGCGACGAUCCCUAGCUGGUCUGAGAGGAUGACCAGCCACACUGGAACUGAGACACGGUCCAGACUCCUACGGGAGGCAGCAGUGGGGAAUAUUGCACAAUGGGCGCAACCCUGACGCAGCCAUGCCGCGUGUAUGAAGAAGGCCUUCGGGUUGUAAAGUUCUUUCGGCGGGGAGGCGUUACCCGCAGAAGAAGCACCGGCUAACUCCGUGCCAGCAGCCGCGGUAAUUC